AUUGAACGCUGGCGGCAUGCUUUACACAUGCAAGUCGAACGGCAGCGCGGGCUUCGGCCUGGCGGCGAGUGGCGAACGGGUGAGUAAUACAUCGGAACGUGCCCAGUAGUGGGGGAUAGCUCGGCGAAGGCCGGAUUAAUACCGCAUACGACCUGAGGGUGAAAGCGGGGGAUCUUCGGACCUCGCGCUAUUGGAGCGGCCGAUGGCAGAUUAGCUAGUUGGUGGGGUAAAGGCCUACCAAGGCGACGAUCUGUAGCUGGUCUGAGAGGACGACCAGCCACCCUGGGACUGAGACACGGCCCAGACUCCUACGGGAGGCAGCAGUGGGGAAUUUUGGACCAUGGGCGAAAGCCUGAUCCAGCAAUGCCGCGUGUGUGAUGAAGGCCUUCGGGUUGUAAAGCACUUUUGACGGGAACGAAAAGGACUGUGCCAAUACCACGGUUCGAUGACGGUACCCGCAGAAUAAGCACCGGCUAACUACGUG
rnacentral:rRNA from 1 species